GGGGCCUUGCCGGAGGUUUUGAUAGUCAGAUCUCAAGCUCUCUCCACUCACCUUAAGGCUCAUAUCUCCACUUUAAGCAAAAAUUACUCUCCUUGUGGUCACCGCUUCCGCCGAGUGACCGAGCUAUGACUGCGACUCCACGCUUUCGCACCCCUCGGGUGCGCUAAUCUAUGGGACCAUCAGGUGCG
rnacentral:rRNA from 1 species